rnacentral:rRNA from 1 species
CCUACGGGCGGCAGCAGUAGGGAAUCUUCGGCAAUGGGGGCAACCCUGACCGAGCAACGCCGCGUGAGUGAAGAAGGUUUUCGGAUCGUAAAGCUCUGUUGUAAGUCAAGAACGAGUGUGAGAGUGGAAAAUUCACACUGUGACGGUAGCUUACCAGAAAGGGACGGCUAACUACGUGCCAGCAGCCGCGGUAAUACGUAGGUCCCGAGCGUUAUCCGGAUUUAUUGGGCGUAAAGCGAGCGCAGGCGGUUAGAUAAGUCUGAAGUUAAAGGCUGUGGCUUAACCAUAGUACGCUUUGGAAACUGCUUAACUUGAGUGCAGAAGGGGAGAGUGGAAUUCCAUGUGUAGCGGUGAAAUGCGUAGAUAUAUGGAGGAACACCGGUGGCGAAAGCGGCUCUCUGGUCUGUAACUGACGCUGAGGCUCGAAAGCGUGGGGAGCAAACAGGAUUAGAUACCCGAGUAGUC